rnacentral:rRNA from 1 species
GACGAACGCUGGCGGCGUGCCUAAUACAUGCGAGUUGAGCGCUGAAGGUUGGUACUUGUACCAACUGGAUGAGCAGCGAACGGGUGAGUAACGCGUGGGGAAUCUGCCUUUGAGCGGGGGACAACAUUUGGAAACGAAUGCUAAUACCGCAUAAAAACUUUAAACACAAGUUUUAAGUUUGAAAGAUGCAAUUGCAUCACUCAAAGAUGAUCCCGCGUUGUAUUAGCUAGUUGGUGAGGUAAAGGCUCACCAAGGCGAUGAUACAUAGCCGACCUGAGAGGGUGCUCGGCCACAUUGGGACUGCGACACGGCCCAAACUCCUACGGGAGGCAGCAGUAGGGCAUCUUCGGCAAUGGAAGAAAGUCUGACCGAGCAACGCCGCGUGAGUGAAGAAGGUUUUCGGAUCGUAAAACUCUGUUGGUAGAGAAGAACGUUGGUGCGAGUGGAAAGCUCAUCAAGUGACGGUAACUACCCAGAAAGGGACGGCUAACUACGUG